GGGUCAUAGGUGGGCAGUAAAUUACGUGGGGCAGAGCCAACUGCACUUGGGAAAGUGCCGACAUAUUGCUCCUAAUAAAUAAUUGGAUUUCUUUUGAAAAUUGGCUCGAGGCUCAUGAAUUAAUUAGGGCAUCUGUCAGAACCCUGAC